CCUGGUUGAUCCUGCCAGUAGUCAUAUGCUUGUCUCAAAGAUUAAGCCAUGCAUGUCUAAGUACAUGCCGUAUUAAGGCGAAACCGCGAAUGGCUCAUUAAAUCAGUUAUGGUUCCUUGGAUCGUACCUUACUACUUGGAUAACUGUGGCAAUCCUAGAGCUAAUACAUGCAGCAGAGCUCCGACCCUCUGGGGACGAGCGCUUUUAUUAGACCAAAACCAAUCGGACCUCGUGUCCGUAUUAUGUGGUGACUCUGUAUAACUUUGGGCUGAUCGCACGGGCUCGUCCCGGCGACGUAUCUUUCAAGUGUCUGCCUUAUCAACUGUCGAUGGUAGGUUACGCGCCUACCAUGGUCGUAACGGGUGACGGGGAAUCAGGGUUCGAUUCCGGAGAGGGAGCCUGAGAAACGGCUACCACAUCCAAGGAAGGCAGCAGGCGCGCAAAUUACCCACUCCCAGAACGGGGAGGUAGUGACGAAAAAUAACAAUACGGGACUCUUUUGAGACCCCGUAAUUGGAAUGAGUACACUCUAAAUCCUUUAACGAGGAUCAAUUGGAGGGCAAGUCUGGUGCCAGCAGCCGCGGUAAUUCCAGCUCCAAUAGCGUAUAUUAAAGUUGUUGCGGUUAAAAAGCUCGUAGUUGGAUCUCAGUUCCAGACGGGUGGUCCGCCUACCGGUGGUUACUGCCUGUUCUGAACAGCCAGCCGGUUUCUCUUGAUGAUCUUCACCGGUUGUCUUGGGUGACCGGCAAGUUUACUUUGAAAAAAUUAGAGUGCUCAAAGCAGGCGUGACGCCUGAAUAAUGGUGCAUGGAAUAAUGGAAUAGGACCUCGGUUCUAUUUUGUUGGUUUUCGGAAUACGAGGUAAUGAUUAAGAGGGACAGACGGGGGCAUUCGUAUUGCGACGCUAGAGGUGAAAUUCUUGGACCGUCGCAAGACGAACUACUGCGAAAGCAUUUGCCAAGAAUGUUUCCAUUAAUCAAGAACGAAAGUUAGAGGUUCGAAGGCGAUCAGAUACCGCCCUAGUUCUAACCAUAAACGAUGCCAGCCAGCGAUCCGGCUGUGUUCCUCAAAUGACACGCCGGGCAGCUUCCGGGAAAAAAAAAAGAUCAUUGCGUGCAGAACGACUUACGUGGGGAAAUUUUGAUUUCUGAUGCAGUGUGCUGCAUAUGGUCGUAAUUCUUUGUCGUCUUCUAAUAUCAUGUAGCGAAACGUGUCAAAAUGAGUGAGGUGUGGACAAUCAAUUGCAGUUUUGAAAAAGGACUCAUUAAUUUUAUUUAGAAAAGUUUCCACAGUAUCUAUUUUUAAGUCUCUGUGUAAGGUCUGAUUUGUAACGUAAAAGUGUGCAUUUGUUAUAAUUCUUAAUAUUUUAUUUUGUAUAACUUGUAAUUUAUAAAUGUCAUUCUUUGUGUAAGCUGCCCAUGCAGGGGAAGCAUAUGUGAAUAUGGGCCUUAUGACAGCCGUAUAAAUGUGCCUUUUGAUGAAGAGAUCAAGAUUAGAAUACUUACCAAGAAUUGGGAUGAGAUUGCAUAUAACUCCAAAUGUUUUAGAUUUUACUUUGGUGAUGUGAUCGUUCCAUUUGAGAGCGCUGUUGAAAACUACUCCAAGAUAUGUAGCCUUUUGUACGAUAGGUACUUCUUCAUUAAAAAGACGGAGUUUUUCUUUACAUGAGCGACGUGCGUAUUUUCGACGUAUUAGUAAUAAUUGUGAUUUUGAUGCGUUGAUCUCUAUUCUCCAGAGUUUACACCAAU
rnacentral:rRNA from 1 species